rnacentral:rRNA from 1 species
GCCGCGGUAAUUCCAGCUCCAAUAGCGUAUAUUAAAGUUGUUGCAGUUAAAAAGCUCGUAGUUGGAUCUCGGGCACUAGCAUGUGGUACACUUAAUUGUUGUCACUACUUGUCUAGUCCUAAUCAAUCGGUUUGCCAGUUUAUGCCCUUCACUGGGUGUCUUCUGUGGCCGGUACGUUUACUUUGAGAAAAUUAGAGUGCUUAAAGCAGGCAUAUGCCUGAAUAAUGUUGCAUGGAAUAAUAGAAUAGGACCUCGGUUCUAUUUUGUUGGUUUUGUAGAGCAUUGAGGUAAUGAUUAAUAGGGACAGACGGGGGCAUUCGUAUUGCAGUGUUAGAGGUGAAAUUCUUGGAUCGCUGCAAGACGAACAACUGCGAAAGCAUUUGCCAAGAAUGUUUUCAUUAAUCAGGAACGAAAGUUGGAGGUUCGAAGACGAUUAGAUACCGUCCUAGUUCCAACCAUAAACGAUGCCAUCUAGCAAUUAUCUGAUGUUAAUUAAACGACACAGGUAGCGGCUUCCGGGAAACCAAAGAUUUUGGGUUCCGGGGGAAGUAUGGUUGCAAAGCUGAAACUUAAAGGAAUUGACGGAAGGGCACCACCAGGAGUGGAGCCUGCGGCUUAAUUUGACACAACACGGGAAAUCUCACCCGGCCCGGACACUGUAAGGAUUGACAGAUUGAGAGCUCUUUCUUGAUUCGGUGGGUGGUGGUGCAUGGCCGUUCUUAGUUGGUGGAGCGAUUUGUCUGGUUAAUUCCGAUAACGAACGAGACUCUAGCCUGCUAAAUAGUACGCCGAUCUCUAUGUCGGCGCGUACUUCUUAGAGGGACAAGUAGCGGAUAGCUACACGAAAUUGAGCAAUAUCAGGUCUGUGAUGCCCUUAGAUGUUCGGGGCCGCACGCGCGCUACACUGAAAGGAUAAGUGUGUUCUCCUGCUCUGAAAAGAGUGGGUAAUCCGCUGAAACCCUUUCGUGAUUGGGAUCGGGGCUUGCAAUUUUUCUCCGUGAACGAGGAAUUCCCAGUAAGCGUGAGUCAUCAGCUCGCGUUGAUUACGUCCCUGCCCUUUGUACACACCGCCCGUCGCUACUACCGAUUGAAUGGUUUAGUGAGAUCUUCGGAUUGGUCCGGUAGUGGCCGCAAGGUUGCCUCCAGGUUCUAAAAAGAUGCUCAAACUUGA